AACGAACGCUGGCGGCAGGCUUAACACAUGCAAGUCGAGCGCCCCGCAAGGGUAGCGGCAGACGGGUGAGUAACGCGUGGGAAUCUACCCAUCUCUACGGAAUAACGCAUGGAAACGUGUGCUAAUACCGUAUACGUCCUUCGGGAGAAAGAUUUAUCGGAGAUGGAUGAGCCCGCGUUGGAUUAGCUAGUUGGUGGGGUAAAGGCCUACCAAGGCGACGAUCCAUAGCUGGUCUGAGAGGAUGAUCAGCCACACUGGGACUGAGACACGGCCCAGACUCCUACGGGAGGCAGCAGUGGGGAAUAUUGGACAAUGGGCGCAAGCCUGAUCCAGCCAUGCCGCGUGAGUGAUGAAGGCCCUAGAGUUGUAAAGCCCUUUCACCGGUGAAGAUAACGACGGUAACCGGAGAAGAAGCCCCGGCUAACUUCGUGCCAGCCGCCGCGGUAAUAC
rnacentral:rRNA from 1 species